UAGCUGGUUUGGUGAUUAUUGUAUUGUUGUAUUGAUUAUUAAUAUACCAUAGUAAAACUACAGUUACAGUUACUAAUGUCCCGUUUACUGUGUUUUAACUUCACAUUUCAUUUAUUACUAUUGUAAGUGUCGUGAUUACCAUGAUUUUACUACAAAUACAACUUACAUCAUUGAUCCUGAAAUUAAUAAUAAUAUAAAACGGAUCGAAGGUCUAUGGCACGUCACGUGACAGUUUAAUCACACUAAUUAGCAGCUGUGUUCAUUUAUUUAAACGCAAUGAAACUCAAAGACAGCGGCGGAUGACCGAUAUAAUACAGCGAUUAAACAUAUGGCGCUAAUCUGAUUAAUAAAGAAGACAGAAUACAUUUUAUAAAAGGCAUUAAAAGAGCGUAUCGAGGACUACUCACCCAAACUGUGGAACUGAUAGCAAGUAUCGCGCGAUGUGUGCUGAAUGAGACUUCUUGAACGUGAUUUCAUAGCGAUAAACAUCUCAUGUCUUCGUGUCGAAUUCUGACGCCAAAAGUUUCCCACUGAAAGCAAUGAAGGUCGUAGUGCUUCGAUAUUCGACGCCGAGAGGCACAUUUGGCGUCAUAAAAGUGACGCUAGGGGCGCUUGACCAUGCUUCGGUUUUUGACGCCUUUGGAGUGAGAAUGGGUUGUUAAUCUAGUCGUGUUUGGUGGACAGUUCAAGCACUCUGCUCCCCAUCAGCAGAUGUACGCCAUAGUUCUUUGUACUGCCGUCAUCUGUCUCAUCUGGAGAAGAGGUGAUGCAGCCAGCUUUACAAAUCCCCAGAGAGCUGCUGGAAGAUGCAAAUGAGCCUAAAGAAAGUGUGGAACAGGAUAAGGGUGAGUAUAUUAACUUUUUAUUCUAUUAUUAUUUUAUUUUAUUUUUUAAUUAAACUAUCCUGUUAAAUCCACUGAACUAGAUAAAGCAUGGCUAAAACUAAAGUCUUCUGUUCCCUUCUGAUAAAACUGAUUUGGCUGCUACUUAGAGAAAGCCAUCCAAAAGACAACAGUCCAGGAAGAGAGAGCGAGCGAGUGAGAGAGACAGAGAGAAAUCAAACUACUAUAAUUCUGUGCUGAGUGCUGAAUAUUACAAAAUAUAAAAAGCAUGUAUAUUGUUAAGAUCUAUGUAAGUAAUGAUGCUCAAACAGAUGUUAAAUUGAUAGUUCGCCCAAUGUCAUUUAUUCAUCCUCUUGUCAUUCCAAACAUGUAUGACUUUCUUCUUUUAUUGGAAACAUAAAAUAAGAAUCUGAAGAUAUAAGGACAGUUGCACAUUACACAAUGCCAUUUUAUUUUCAAGGGAUAGCUCACCCAAAAAUGAAAAUAUUGUCAUUAAUUACUCACCCUCAUGUCAUCUUCUGAACACCAAUUAAGAUGUGUUUGGUGAAAUCCGAGAGCUUUCUGACCCAAUGUAACUACCAUGUUCAAUCUUUAAAAUAGUCCAUGUGAUAUCAGUGGUUCAGCCAUAAUUUUAUGAAGCUAAAAGAAUACUUUUUUGUGUGCAAAGAAAACAUAAAUAACUUUAUUCAACAAUUUCUUCUCUUUUGUUUCAGUCUUGUCCACACAUUCUCAACAGAAUAGACUGCUUUUCUGGGCCUUGAAUGUGUCUGUUGUGUUGCUGUUUAUGCAGGGUCAGAAAUUUGUAUUAGUUUUUUAUUUCAUAAAAAAAUAUCUCAAUUUGUGUUCCAAAGAUGAACGGGGUUUUGAAUGACAUGAGAGUUAGUACUUGAUAACAGAAUUUAAAUUUUUGGCCUUUUAAAAGUCAAAAUGAAGGUGCAUGAUAAACUGAACUCAUGGCAGAAGGAUGCUGUUGAUAACAUUUUAUUGUACAGCCACUUAAUCGCGUUGCAGUAAAAUGGGCUAUUAGUAAUCCAAUUUUUUUUUUUAAAUUUUAAAACAGUAAUAAAA